UCUGAAAGGGAUAACACAAACAUAAUAUGCUUUAUGUGGGCAAUCAUAACAGCUUGCAGAUAUUACACGCGAGUGGCUCAUAUGAUAAUCUUUGUGGACUCGCCAAAUAUGGCUGGUAUUAUAUUUCUUGCAAUUGAAAAACGACAAUACAUGGGACAAAUAAUUGACUGCGGAAAUAAAGAAACCUGGUGACUAAGAUAGAUUUAUUGCCAGUGUAAAAAGGUAUAUAUUGGAUGCUACUCUAUAUAUUACUGUUUAUAUGUAAGGGGGCUAGUUAAAAAGGUUAUAUGGUCACAACUUAGAUUCAUCAUUAGGAAUGGAAGUUCCAUACACAAUAUAGGAAUUAUUAUUUAUUAGAUUACUCAUGCCUUUACAUUAGCAUACUAUCUCAUGACAAUUUUCUUUCCAGGCUUGAAUUAUCAGCAAUAACAAAAAAGCCUAUUUAUUGGUUUCAAAAAUAAAUACUGUUUCACAAUAGGACAAUAUUAUGAAUUGAAAAGAAUAGAUUUAAACAGACCUAGUUGCUGUAAAAAAAUUACAGAGCCGUUUACGGCAAUGGAAUCUAAAAUAAAAAAUUUCAAGAGUGAAGAAAUGCAUAGUCUCCAUUAUUUAAAUUUUAUUAGAGAUGGAGAUUCUUCUGUGUUUGCUAAUGUGAAAGAAAAAGUACAACAUGGGAACUAAAUAAAAAAUUGACACCAGUGCACAAGAUUUUAGCUAAUACAAAGCUUCCACACUAUGGAUGAAAUAUUUUGAAACCAAGGUUACUGAAGAACUACUGUGCAAUAAAUUAUUGUACGUAGAGCAAUGGUCAGCCUAGUUCCAUGGCUGAUGAUUUUCAGAUUCGGCCACCGCAUGUAUUUGGCAACUAUGAGAAGAGGAAAAAUUUACUACUCUUUCCAUUCGUAAUUUAUAAUAUAAUUUGUACAUAGUGUUACUUUUGUAAAAUUAGCCAGACAAAUGUGAUUUGUUAUCUAUAAUAAAAAUAUAAAACUA